AACAACCCAAUAGAAAAUCUUUGCCUAAAUUUAUUUACAUUUUAACCUGAUUUUAUCCAAUUUCUUACAAUUAUAGCCCUUUUAUUACAAUUAUAGCCAAUUUGGACUCAAUUUAAAAUAUAGUUCAAUCUUGAUCAAAUUCUUAAGCCUCCAGAUCUCAGCCGUCGAUCAAAUCUGAUCCGAUGACUGAGAUCAAAAGCCCUAUCCUUUCCUUUUUAAAACAAAAGGAGAAACCCUAACCCUAAUUUUUUUAUUUCAUCUGUAUCCCCAUACCUCUCUCUCUCCCUUCUCUCUCUUUCCUUCACUCUUUCUCGCUCAAAAGGAGGCAGACAUGGUUGCCGGCCACCCAUUAACGACGCCACCUCCCUCUCUCUUCCGCUGUUUCCUUUAUAGUGAACCAACGCCAUCAUCGACACUGCCACUGGCAAAAAUAGGCGUGUCACCGCCUCCCCCAGUCCACGUACCGCCAUUUUUUUCACUGUCAAAAGUCGACAAACGAUGACCGAUCGUCAUUUCAUCCAGCCCCGCAGAAGUCGUCGUUGCUCCGCCCCCUUCUAAUCCAUCCCAGCAAACAACGCCGUCACUGCCGCCACCACCGGCGAAAACAUCCACACCACCAACAACCGUUCUUAUCGUUCACGCCGUCACUAUAACGUCCUUGACUCCAAUUGAAGCUCGAUAUAAAGGCAUUUACAAGUACUUGGCGGAUUUACCGAUGUAAAUCCGUCGCAUGUUAAUCAAAUUAAUUAACGUUAAUUAAUCAAGAGUUUAAUUUGGGAUCAUUAUGAGCUACUUGUUGUCCGACAUGUUACGCGCUUCGAGUCCUAGCCAACAUAGCCUUACUUUUGUCUAGUACACAAAUCCAAAAUAGUAAAGUCCAAUGCCUCUUGGACGAUAGGUGGGAUGAUAAGGGUUAUUAAAAACGUUAGUUUUAUCCUUGUCAUACAACGCCUUUAGACUUGACAUCCAGCCUAGGUGGGGUAGGACGGGUAGUCAUUCAGAAGUGAUGAUCCCAACGGAUUAUUGAUGGUAAGAUUAAUGACAUUGUUACUUGUCCAAGAGUUCGACCGGUGAGUCAGACGAUGAUUAAACAAGUUGGGUUCUGAUCCGAAUGAGACUAAAAUAUUUCCUUGUUUGACUUGGACGAAUUCUUUUUAUUCUUUUAUUUAGUUUACAUGUUUAUUUAUUUGAGGUAGUUAGUUUAUUAUAAAGCAGUCCCUUUUGUUGUAAAUUAUGUUAUUUCUUUCUCCUCACUUGUCUGAUUUACAUAUUUUUAUUGAUUUUAUCACUUAGAUGAUUAAUAGCCAUAAUUAAGUUAAAUGUUUGUUAAUUACUUUCUCACCUAGAUAAACAUUAAAUUAAUAAUAAAAUAAGAGCCCCUUUGGGAGCCAUCGAACCCCUUCACGUUCAUUUUUCACGUCUGCACUUUGGACAUAUCAACCUCCAAUCUGGUCAAGGUGUUCAAAGGAAAAAUAUUCAAUCCCGGGCCUGGAUCAAUCGAUACACGAGAUAUCAUUCUCCCCUCAUACUGCAAUGUGACAUGUAGAGCCCGAUUGUGUGCUCUUCCUUCGGGCGGUAAUUCAUCAUCAUGAAGUGAAAUCUUGUAUGCCUCAAAUACUUGCCCUACCAUGUGGGCCAUUUCUCCGCCUGUUAUGGUAGCCGACAUAUAAGCUUCACCUAAGACCCUCAUCAAUGCCUUUUGAUGAUUCUAAGAAGUCUGGAGCAAUGUCAAGAUUGUAAUCUGGGCCGGAGUCUUACUCAGCUGCUCUACUACAGAGUACUCAUUUACUUAUACCUUCUUCAAGAUACUAUCUUUUUCAACCCCGGUGCCAGGUUGCUUUCCUUUUCUAGAACUUUCUUGAAGCAAGUUUUCAGGCGUCUAUAUUUUACCUAAUCUGGUGAUACCUUGUGCAACGUCUGUCUUGGCUACUUUUACUUUCCUUGGAAUAUUGAGUGCAUAAUUCCAUGGAACUACAUGAGGAUUGCACACAGUCGGGGUAGCUCUUACAACAGUAAAGGAAUAUUUGGGCGUAGCAACCUCGAUCUCAAAGGGAGCCUACUUUCGUACCAUAAUAGGAGUUCUGUUUCCUUCCUCAAUGACCCAAAUGGAGUACUCUAAGUCUACAUCAUCAUCAGCCUCGAGCAUAUUCACCUCAUGAGUAAGGAUAGGAUUAUUGGUGACGUUGGGUUCCGGGUCUUUCAACUGAAUUACCCUGGUAUCAAUCAGUUGUUGAACUUUGUUCUUCAAGUAGAAGCAUGCCUCUAUAGGAUGUCCCCUCAUGCCGAAGUGGUAGGCACAUGUUUGAUCAUGUCGGUAUUGUGGGGAUCUCAUGUCAACUUGCACGGUCAAAAUGGUCGUGAUAUAACCCGCCUUCUUAAGUCUUUCAUAAAGUUAAGCCAUUGGCUCAGCUAAAGGGGUGUAUCGCCUUCUUUCAAUAUUUUCCUUAGGCUUGAGGACAGUAGGCUUGGUGGCAGGGCUAUGAGUAGGUUAGGUUACUUGGACUUGGAUGGGUUGGGCAUUAUAUACAAUGUAGGAGGGAUUUGAAAAUUAUGGAGACAUUUAGUAAGGAGGAGGAAUUUGGUAUAACGGAGCUUGAUAUGGCAUUGGAGGUUGUAGUGGGUAGAAGGAGGCCGUAUAUGGUGUUUAUGGGUAAGAUAAGGGAGACGGAGUGGAGGUCGCAUGGCUUGGGACAUUCUCCGAAAUUUAGGCCGCCAUUACUGAUCCUAUCUCCUUCUUUUUUUAAUUUUAUACUGCUCCUGCGGAUUGAGUGUUUAAGCGCAUAAUGCUACCAUUCAUAAGACACUCCUCGAACAUUUCUCCUAUUCGGAUGAUUUUGGAGAGACACUUUUCUGUGAUGGUUAUAAGUUUGUCAAGGUACUGUGGCUCUUGUGCCUUGACAAAAUAUUCUUUUAUCUUUUGCUCCUCAACUGGAGGUCGAGCUCUCGCAGCCUCGACCCUCUAUCUCAUGGCAUACUCGCGGAAGGAUUCACUUGGCUUCUUUCUCAUCGCCUGCAUAUAAGUCCAACUUAGAGCAUUAUCGAUAUUAUACCUAAACCGAUCAACGAAACUAGACGCCAGGUCAAGCCAGCCUGCCCACUUUUUCACAUCCUACUCAAUGUACCAUGUAAGAGCCUCUCCCAUGAGGCUUCUCAUAAAUAGCUUCAUCCGAAUUUUCUCAUUUUUUCCUACACCCAAAAGUUUGUUACAGUACACAUGCAGAUGUGCCUUAGGAUCUCCAGUCCCAUUGUAUAACUUAAAUUUGGGAGGUUUGUACCCCUCCGACAGUUCUACAUCUAGGUGGAUGCACAAAUCUUCGUAAUUGAGACCCUUCAUACCCUUGUUUCCUUCCAAAUAUCUUAACCUCUCAACUACAGCCUGCAUCGUAUAAUUAUUUUUUGGGUUCUCGACUGUGGGCUGAGGAUAGUUGAGCAGAAGUGUUUCAACAUAGAUAGGGUUCAGAUUAAGGCUUCCAAAUGCGUGAUGGUGGUAUAUGUUUGGAUGCAAAGGCUUUUGUGGAGAAAGAUGAGCGGAGUUUCUAGUUUCUUGGGUAAGCAUAUAUAAAGGAGCUUUGGCAUUUCGGAUAUUUUGAAUGUUGGUAGGAUUUUGGAGCUGGAGAUGAGGCAUUGGAUGGUCGGAAGGAUCUUGGGAUUUUGGGACGGUAAAGCUAUCGGCUUGUAAUUCUGGAGUGUUCAGGUUGAGGGAAAUCUUAGCUAGGUUGCGUACUUGCGCCAAUUCUACUUGUAAUUCCAGGAUUUCCUGUUCCAUUUUCAUCAUCAUUUUGUUCAAACCAAUGAUACUAUCCCCUUUUGAACUAAUACCCUAUUUUUCUCCAACGAUGUGAUAAUCGCCCAUUGUUUCUUUUCCUCAAGAACUUAUAGGUAAAGGAGGAGGAGAGGGAGGAGCCCCUUUCGAUCUAGUAUGAUAGGCCAGACAGCACAAAUCAACCUUCCCCUCUUACAAACUCACAAUUUUUCUUUGAGUACAAGAUUAACAGGUACAGGUGACAGGAAUCACUCCAUCACGAAGAAGCAUAAUAUACAAUCCAACAUCAUGGCGAGAAGCCUCGCAGUCGAUCCGACGACAUGACAGAUACGCUUUCUCAUAUUCUAUUAUCUUUACCGUUAUGGUUGUUUACUACAAUGUUCAAUCCUCUACACACACAUAUAUCUGCACUAAUCAUUUCUGCCAAGUCAAGCUAAAAGUGGCACGUAUGGAUCACGAUCUCAAAAUGCAUGGAAAAGCCCAAAAGCCGAUCCUACGAUGAAAAGACAAACAGCCGAUCACAUGAUUUUACAAUGCAUGGAGAAGCCCAAAAGUUGAUCCCACGAUAAGAAGCCAAGUAGCUGAUCACACGAUUUCACAAUGCAUGGAGAAGCCCAAAAGUUGAUCCCACGAUGAGAAGCCAAGUAGCUGAUCACACAAUUUCACGAUGUGAAGCCAAGUAGCUAAUCACACAAUUUCACGAUGCAUGGAGAAGCCCAAAUGCUGAUCCCACGAUGAGAAGCCAAGUGGUUGAUCACAUGAUUUCACAAUACAUGGAAAAUCCCAAAAGCUGAUCCCACAAUGAGAAGCCAAGUAGCUGAUCACAUGAUUUCACGAUGCAUGGAGAAGCCUAAAAGUCGAUCCUACAAUGGGAAGCCAAGCAGCUGAUCACACGAUUUCACAAUACAACAGAUAUGCUUUCUUUAUUUUUGCAUUCACGUUUAGUUUAUCAAUUAUUUAUUUCUUACAUGUCUAACCGUUGUUAUUUAGUGCGAUGUAAAGAUGCAGGUAACAGAGAAGGAAUAACAAAUAGAGACCAAUGUUAUUUAAGCGCGUCACCGCUUCUUCCAGUCCACGCACUACCACCUUCUUCACCGUCAAAAGCCAACCAAUGAUGAGAAGUCGUCGUUCCAGCCAGCCCCGCGAGAAACUGUUGUGGCUCUGCCCCCUUUGGCUCCGUCCCAGCGAUCAAUGCCGUCACCGGCGAAAACAGCCACGCCACCAACAGUCAUUCUUAUCGCUGACGCUGCCAUUAUAGUGUCCUUGACUCCGAUUGAAGUUCGAUAUAAAGGAAUUUACAAGUACUUGCCAGAUUUAUCAAUGUCAAUUCGUUGCAGGUUUUUUUUUUUCAAGUUUUACAUGAAUCUACCCCUAUUUUCUUUUAUUGUUUUUUUGUGUCUCCUUUGCUCAUAGAUUCAAAUUGAUUACGUAUGCCUCUGAACAUUGGUUCAACUUCUUUGAAUUUCUGAUUGUUUACCCAUCUAGAGCGAAAUAUAUGAAAACCCCAAAUUCAUAUGAUUUUUUCUUUAACCUCAAUUUCUUUUGUGGAAUUUGAUUUAAACGAGGUGCUUGUUUUUCUCACUGAUUAUUGUAUAUUUGCUUGAUUCUUGACAAAUAUUAGUUGCUUGAUUUUUGUUGAAUAAAAGGGUUGACCCUCUUGGUUAGAUUUGAUAGGUAUUCUAGUCAAUUUUGAUUCUUGAAUAUUUGUAACUGAUUUCUAAUUGACUAUUUCUCCUCUCUUAAGAUUGUGGCUUAUUGAUGUUUAUGACACAUUUAUAUUAUAUUACUCUUUAAUGGCACAUUGAGUUCGUACCCAAUUAAGGGAUUGUGAUUUUUGGUGAUUGAUUGUUUUCUCGGUAAGGCAAGUAGCAGAUAUUCCCACGUGAGUGCCUUCAUAUUUUGCCUACAUAUUUAUGGUAAAACUGGAUAAUUUUUCUACCUUAAUUGACUAUUUGACUGAUUUUAAAAUAUUAUUUUCCUUUUACUUUUCCUUAAUUACCUAAAAAUAUUCUCCCUUCCUUUUAUGUUUAGGCUGAUUUGUUUUUCCCUCACUAUAUAAACAACCUCUUCUUUCAAUUAACACAGUUCUGAAGUUCCACAAUUACAAUUACAAUUGCAAUUAUAAUUACUUCUCUCUUAAACAAAACAUCUGCUAUUUUAAUACGAGGCAAUUAGAUACUUGGUUUCUUUUGGUUUUCCUUCGAGGCUUACUAGAAGCAUCCUGCUAUUAUUCUUACAAGUGCUUGACUCUAUUUAUUUCUUUUACUUGCUGCACUAGUAAGUCUCUCAUCAAUGUAUUUACAUACUAGAAAGCAUGUCUAUAGGAUUAGUUGAAACAAUUGUUUGCUCCUUAUAUGUUGUGUCGUGUUUAAUCGUUUCAAUAUGCCAGACCAUGUGUGUGUUUGUCCCGUGCUUGCAUAGUUCUUCUAUUAUAUUCAACAGGUGUUAUUGGGAGGGGGUUCCGAAGAGUCCCCGAGAUGAUGAAUUGACUAUGUUAUGCUUCAUAGCUAGUUGUUUUUCUUUCUUCUUAUUUUACUUAUUAUCUGGUUUGUAAAAUUUGUAAAUACAUUAUUGUUAUUGAUGUAAUAAUAAAUUUGGGGGACUGCUUCGGGGGUCUGAGACUUACAUGCUCUAUGAACGGUAUAGAUAGGCACAACCUAGGGUUUACGUGCAUUACAUGCUACGUGGGUCAUUUAGGUACAAGCUUAAGAUUUAUUAAUAAGUGAAUCAUUAUCCACGGUUUAUUAAAUAUUCCUGAACUUAUGAAAAUUGGCAUACUAAAUUAUUUGACAUCAAGCAUAUUAGUAUUUUAGCAUGCUCGUACACUAUUUGACAUCAAGCAUAUUAGCAUAUUGAUGGCAUGUUAACAUAUAAAUAUAUUUCUAGUAUGUUAAACAUUAAGUGUUAGGCAUCUUAGCAUGUCAUGGCAUUAUAUUCCUUGACACAUUUAUCACACUUUUGACACCCUCUUUUAAUACUUAACAACACAUUGUUGCAUACACAAAUCACAGUUGUCUUCUAUCACCAUUUGUUGAACAUUAGAUAUCACACCUAUAGGUUAAUAAUUAAUGAGUAAUUAUUUGUCUUCGCAUGUUAAUCACAUUAAUUGACGUUAAUUAAUCAAGAGGCUAACUUGGGAUUCUUAUGUGCUACUUGCUCUCCAAAGUGUUACGCGCUUCGAGUCCUAGGCAACAUAACUUUAUUUUUGUCUAGAACACAAAUCCAAAAUAGUAAAGUCCAAUGCCUCUUGGACGAUAGGUGGGACGAUAAGUAUUACUAAGAGACGUUAGUUUUAUCCUUGUUAUAGAACGCCCUUAGACCUGACAUCUAGCCUAGGUCGGGUGGAAUGGGUAGUCAUUCGAAAGUGAUGAUCCCAACGAAAAAUUAAUGGUAAGACUAAUGACAUUGUUACUUGUCUAAGAGUUCGGCCGAUGGGUCGAAUGAUGAUUAAACAAGUUGGGGUUCUGAUCCGAAUGAAACCAAAACAUUUCUUUGUUUGACUUGGACAAAUUAUUUUUAUUCUCUUAUUUACCUUACAUGUUCAUUAAUGUGGGGUAGUUAAUUUAUUAUAAAUCAGUCCC
rnacentral:lncRNA from 1 species